GUUGAGGAACAUUGCUCUAAUGCAUAAGUGCAAAUGAUACUACUCUUUGAUCUUAACCAUAAGGCCGAGAAGCCUUAUAAUCGGUUGGUUCAACAUAACCCAGGACUGUCUACCAGAAAUAUACUGUAAUCGAAUCAAUCAUAUGCGGCACUUUUACAAAAUAUUCCGUGCUUCAGAAAUCUCUUUUCCGUCUUAUACACACGCACACACACACACACACAAUCUCACGCGCGCGCGCUAGUAAAGUGUUCUGCUUUAACUUAGGGAGUUGUAAACAGAUAGCUACUUCUAUGACGUCAUAAAGAAGAGAUGAUGUCAAGUGUAAACAAACAAAUCUGUAUCUUACUCGAAUAUUGAGAUUAAUCGUCAGUUAACUAUUCUAUAGAAAGACAGAAAUUAUAUUGCUAAUGAUUUCAAUAGCUGUAUCUCCUGAAAAGUCAUGAAGUCCACUGGGUAUAUAUUUUUCUAAAUUCUCUAGUUUCUUUCAGUGAAAAUGUUGCAUCUCAAUGAACCUUCAGUUUUAAGGACAAUAAAAGCGUGAACUGCUGUAAAUCUAAAGUAAUUUUCUUAAACUCUGUUUCUUGUUUUGAAUUCUGAAAGCCAAAAGCAUGAAAGGCAGCAAUCAUUUAAAAAAAAAAUCAGAUCUCAGACUAAGAAACCAACCAAUAUGUUCUAAUAGAAAACGCAUUAAAAAAAUUGAAAUGUUCACCAAGAACUGGCAUACUAUAAUCAUUUGUAGAAGGCAACGAGCUGGCAGAACUGUUAGAACGUUGGACAAAUCGCUUAGUGGCAUUUCUUCUGACUCUUUACGUUCAAGCUUCAAAUUCCACCAAGGUCGAUUUUGCUUUUCAUCCUUUCGCGGGUGAUAAAAUAAGUACCAAUUGAACACUGGGAGUCGAUGUAACCGACUAACCUCCUCCCUCCAAAACUGCAGUCAUUGGGCCAAAAUUUAAAGCUAUUAUCAUUCAUGGUGUUCCACAGGAGAAAAUAUAAGCCUGACAAAUGCUUUGAUAGCUUGGUGGCGAUAUUGAUACUGAGUGAGCAGCAAUAUGGUGGUAAUCGUUAUAAAAUUGAAAGAACACACACACGUUGGGAAGAAGAUAGCACGAAAUCAAAUUAUGAAUUUACAGAAGCUGGUGUGUGAGAGCGUGUCAUUCAAAGAAAAAUGAAUAAAACGAAGAAAAGAGACGGUUAACAAAGAUAUUUGCCUAUAAAUUUAGCAUAAUGAACUGUUUAAAUCUUGCUCCUGUCUUCAAAGAAUGGAAUUUAUAUUAAACAUAUUCAUUUUAUUCUGAGUAUUGAAGACAGACAGUGGUUUCUUGAUGCUUUCAACGAGCACUUAUAGAAAUGUUAAUUAUUUUAGAACCCAACUUAAGUGAUGGCUAAUUGACAACAAUCAAUGUUAGUCGUUCGCAAACGAAAUUAAUCACCGGCUGACAAAGUUAAACCGAUAUUAUUGAUAUAACGCGGCAUCUAGGAAAACUGUCAGCUAACAAAAACAAAUGUAAGAAACAUCAAGAAUAUCAAAAAGAAAUUUGAUAAGCUGUCACGGGUAAUUUUGACGUUUAAGAUUUAACAAAAGAAAUCAAAAGUGACGUCAUACUUUGAUGUUAUCUUCUUUGUUAACAACAUAUAUAAUAACCCGAGAUGUCAACAAAGUGAUAACAGAAGAUUUUAAGUCAGUAGCAUAAUCUUUCACUUUCAAGAUGCGCGCGCGUAAAGAUGCACAUCCAAAUUAGUACAUAGAAUAUCAUACAGUGCUGAUAGAUUGACCAGGUCUGAUACUUAAUUAAAAGGUAGAUCUGUUCUGUAAAAAUACCGUAAAAUUCUAAAGUUUCAUCCUUUAAUUUCGAGAGAAUUCGAUUUCCAAUCGGCAAGUAAUCAAUAAAGGAAUCUCUACAAAGUCGCUUGACCUACUAGAAAUAAUUUUUUUUUUUCUUAAUUACAGCGUACCGCUGAAAAUGUUUCUUAUUAUUGCUGUUGUUUAAUCCAAGGUCAGCUUUGACUGAGCAG